rnacentral:rRNA from 1 species
CCUACGGAGGCUGCAGUCGAGAAUCAUUCACAAUGGGGGAAACCCUGAUGGUGCGACGCCGCGUGGGGGAAUGAAGGUCUUCGGAUUGUAAACCCCUGUCAUGUGGGAGCAAAUUAAAAAGAUAGUACCACAAGAGGAAGAGACGGCUAACUCUGUGCCAGCAGCCGCGGUAAUACAGAGGUCUCAAGCGUUGUUCGGAAUGACUGGGGGUAAAGCGUGCGGAGGCAGUUUUGUAAGUCGUGUGUGAAAGGCGGGGGCGAAACCCGCGGAUGGCACAUGAUACUGCGCGACUAGAAUAAUGUAGGGGGAACCGACAUUCUCGGUGUAGCCGUGCAAUGCUUAGAUAUC